rnacentral:tRNA from 1 species
GCAGUGGUGGUUCAGUGGUAGAAUUCUUGCCUUCCAUGCAGGAGACCCGGGUUCAAUUCUCGGCCAAUGCA